AAGACGUUAGUAAACAAAUUAUAUAGCACUGUCAGCGCUAAGUCAAAGAUUCCCCUGCUCUUUACGUCUUU
rnacentral:tRNA from 1 species